GCCUGGCUGGUUCAGUCAGUAGAGCAUAUGACUCCUGAUCUCAUGGUUGUGAGUUCAAGUCCCACGUUGGGUG
rnacentral:tRNA from 1 species